CUGUACUAGACGGGGAGUUAGCGGUGCCCUGUAACUCGCAAUCCGCUUUAGCGAGGUUGAAUUCCAUCCAGAGGCAAGCUGCCUGUAAUGCAGUCUUGUGCAAGUAGUGUUGAUGCAUGGGUCCCAAGCAAUGGAAGCCCAUGAAUUCCGUCAGAUUCGGAAGAAAGCAGCGGUAAGUGGUCACUUUCAUGUGACUUGGGGACGCCUGUGCGGAGCCAACUACACGAGCAACGGUUGUAGGUACUUGUCGAAGGAUGGUGUACAG
rfam:Peptostreptococcus stomatis DSM 17678 contig00062, whole genome shotgun sequence.